AGCGAGGAAAGAGGGAGAGAAUGAAGAGGACAGGGAGAGCGCAGAGAGGAAAACUGCAGAAAACCACAGGGAAAAAGAACUCCAAGAUUAAAAGCAUCCUCCUUAUUUGUUGCCGAGUUGCUCGUCGACAUGUAAGAAAAGGAUUCCCUCCAAGUCUGACAGGAAAGACAGGGCCACUUCUGGAUGAGCUGUAAGGAUGCGUUUUCACUUCCACAACAUUGAAGCACUUUUUAUAAACCUUGUAUUGUACUUAAAUAAAUCUAUCUGGACAUUAAGAGAAGUGACUCAUACAACGAUAGCUUGGCUUUGUGCUGUCAAUCCUAGCAUUAAAAAAAAAAAAAAUCCAGAAUCCUCCUGAGAAGCUUUUCCAUAUCCACUCAUUUCUCAAAACAAACAAACAAACAAACAAACAAGUAAAAACAAGAAAAACUAGAAAAGCAAAAGAAAGUUUACUGUAUGCAUCUGGGUGUCUUCUCGCGCAUUUAUAAAUGUCUCCCAGCCCCGCUUGCUGUGUUGCCUCCCUCCUGCCACACACUCCAAGGCAGAGGCAUCGAGGGAUCGCCCCCAGAGAGUUGUGUUUACUUAGGUUUUUUUAAUCUCUCCACCAUGUAUGACAAGUGUUACUUCAAGAAAUUCAUCAGCCUUCUACAGAUACUUCCAGGUUUUGCUGUAAUGAUCUGCAGAAGAGAACUGCCAUCACUUUCUCACAUCCCAAGGUGUUGCAGGAACUCAGAGAAAGGGGAGAGUGGCUGAAACGCUUAAUUACAGUGGGGGAGGGAGGAGCGCAAGGCGGGGACGGAGGGAGGAGGGAAAGGAGGAAGAUCCUUUACCUAGCCUGUACCUGGAGAGAGCUCUGAAUCCUCUCAGUGGAAAUUUGGGAAAGGUAUUGUUGCCUUUUUUUUUUUUUUUAAUGCCUUUGGGGAGAAGUGAUACCCUUGUGUAACAAUUAGCUCAGACAAUAAAAAUAAUUGGAAAAUCA